rnacentral:rRNA from 1 species
UAUAAUUAAAAAAUUUUGGAAUAUUAAUAAUAAUGAAAUUUAACGGAUUUGGCGGCAAGAUAGCCAUUUAGAGGAACCUGCCCUAUAAACGAUGAACCACGAAAUACUUUGCUUUUACUUGUUAUCAGUUUGUAUACCGCUGUUGUCAGUCAGUUUUUUCAGAAAUCUUUCUAUAAUGAUAAAAUCAAUUACUUCAAGUAAAGGUGCAGCUUAUGUAAAAGAUAGAGGUGGGUUACAUUUAUAAGAUUAAAACGAAUAAAGAUUUUUUGAAAAAUUCUUUUGAAGGUGGAUUUAAAUGUAAAGUUUAAAAAAACUUGAUGUGAGCUCUAUCUUGU